UUUUUUUUUUUAACGAAGUUUCUCAAUAUUUCCAUUCCUAAAAAAAUUUCCCUUGGUUUUUGAAUGUUUCCAUACCCUCUUUUGCUUGCGAUCGAACGGUGUGCGAAUCACGCAAUGCGCGUACUCAAAACUCAAUACCAGGUGCUAUGUGUUAGAGUGACCGGGUACUGUGGAGGCAGAGAGUUUGCAUUACAUAGUCAUACCUGCAAGAAUUAAAAUUGCUAUUGUUUGUAACUGUGUUAUGAUUCGAGCAAGCGAAAGCUCUCAGACUGUAUGAGCUGUUGCAUAUGUCCUUGCUAUGCAAACGGGAUGCCUACUCUCAACGGAGGUCUUUAGAGUCACAGUCUUGAGCUUUGAGGUCCAUAACUGGAAUCUUUUUUGGCAUGAGCUUGACAAGACUAUCAAUAGCUGGGUGUGUCCAAUAUACAAGGUAGACAUGCCACUUCAUCUUGAGCUCUGCUAAUUAGAAUCUUUGGCAAGGGACUUGUAGCUGGAACAGGCCAAUGCAGUGUGCUCCUGCAAGAUCUGGGCCCAGAAAUUAGGCCGGGCAGCCCAUCUGGUGGGUCUAAAUGGUAUGAAAAAGUUUACUAUCUACGUUCAAGUAGAUUUGUGGCUCACCUAAUGGACAAAACAACCUGUUUCUGGGGCUAGAGCAUUGACAUGGUGCAACCCACCUGCUGAGGGGCUUGGAAUUCGCACAUGCGCCAUGAGUCUCCCACCCAUCUCCUUUGACGCUUUCAUCUGAAAUGUAGUAAUGCCAAAACGUGUGAAAUAUAUCAAUUAUCAUUCAAUAAAGAGGUUUUAUACACUGAUGAGUGGCUUGUAUGUUUAAGUUUCUAGUUUGUACAAGUGGGCCCCAUGUCUUUGUGAUCACACUGUUGAUAUGAAGGGAGGGACUCACUAUGGAUGGUCCACACGCAACAAUCCCCUCAGAUCGGAAAAGCCAAGUUAUUGAAGGUUAGGAGUAUUCUUUCGUAACAAUUUUGGCUUACGGUCCAUCCACAACGGGGCCCAUGAUAUCAGCAGUUUUGAGCACUGAAACAUGGGCCAUGCUUGUAAGAGCUGGAAAUCUGAACCUUGCUUUACAAACUUUUGCAUGAUCAUUGUAUUGAUUCCUCUUUGUAAAUUGAUGAUGGUCAGAACUAUGUCUAUAUGAUUAUUAUUUUUAAUCUCUAAAAGAACAUGGAUUUCACAAUGCAAUUUUGCUAA